rnacentral:rRNA from 1 species
UACGGAGGGGGCUAGCGUUGUCCGGAAUUAUUGGGCGUAAAGAGCUCGUAGGCGGUCUGUCGCGUCGGAUGUGAAACCUCGGGGCUCAACCCCGAGCCUGCAUUCGAUACGGGCAGACUAGAGUUCGGUAGGGGAGACUGGAAUUCCUGGUGUAGCGGUGAAAUGCGCAGAUAUCAGGAGGAACACCGGUGGCGAAGGCGGGUCUCUGGGCCGUAACUGACGCUGAGGAGCGAAAGCAUGGGGAGCGAACAGG